rnacentral:rRNA from 1 species
AUUGAACGCUGGCGGCAUGCCUUACACAUGCAAGUCGAACGGCAGCACGGGUGCUUGCACCUGGUGGCGAGUGGCGAACGGGUGAGUAAUACAUCGGAACAUGUCCUGUAGUGGGGGAUAGCCCGGCGAAAGCCGGAUUAAUACCGCAUACGAUCUACGGAUGAAAGCGGGGGACCUUCGGGCCUCGCGCUAUAGGGUUGGCCGAUGGCUGAUUAGCUAGUUGGUGGGGUAAAGGCCUACCAAGGCGACGAUCAGUAGAUGGUCUGAGAGGACGACCAGCCACACUGGGACUGGGACACGGCCCAGACUCCUACGGGAGGCAGCAGUGGGGAAUUUUGGACAAUGGGCGAAAGCCUGAUCCAGCAAUGCCGCGUGUGUGAAGAAGGCCUUCGGGUUGUAAAGCACUUUUGUCCGGAAAGAAAUCCUUGGCUCUAAUACAGUCGGGGGAUGACGGUACCGGAAGAAUAAGCACCGGCUAACUACGUG